AUAUGUAUAUAUAUAUGUAUAUGUAUAUAUAUGUAUAUAUGUAUAUAUAUAUAUGUAUAUGUAUGUAUAUGUGUAUAUGUAUAUGUAUAUGUAUAUAAAUAUUAACUAUUGGAACCAAAACUUAAAAAGAACUGAUGUUGUCACAAGAUGGAGGGAAAGUUGGAGCAUAAAUUAAUGAAAUUACAGUGAACAAAAAUGUUAAUCCAAUAUAAAAUUAUGUAUAGAACAUAUUAUACAAGAGACAAAAUUCACAAAUUUUACAGCACAACGGCAGAGUCAUGUCUCAAGUGUAAAACUAACAAUGACUCAAUAAUCCAGGACUUCUAGGAAUGCUAUAAAGAGUUAGAAAGUUGGAUAUCAGAGGUAUUACAAUGUAAAUGUACUGUUUAAUCUUUCUGUCUGCAUAUUUCAGGGGGGGGGGCAUAGUGAGAGACCUAAUGGGCUGGAAGAUAUGUUGAAAUAUCAUGGGCAACCGAGGAAAAACAAAUUGGUACAAUUUUAAGGCUGUGGCAACCAAUAAUGCAGGCACUAGGGAUGGAGGUGUGGUCAGGCACUAGGGAUGGAGGUGUGGUCAGGCACUAGGGAUGGUGGUGUGGUCAGGCACUAGGGAUGGAGGUGUUGUCAGGCACUAGGGAUGGAGGUGUGGUCAGGUAUUAUGGAUGGAGGUGUGGUCAGGUAUUAUGGAUGGAGGUGUGGUCAGGUAUUAUGGAUGGAGGUGUGGUCAGGUAUUACGGAUGGAGGUGUGGUCAGGUAUUACGGAUGGAGGUGUGGUCAGGUAUUACGGAUGGAGGUGUGGUCAGGCAUUAGGGAUGGAGGUGUGGUCAGGUAUUAUGGAUGGAGGUGUGGUCAGGUAUUAUGGAUGGAGGUGUGGUCAGGCACUAGGGAUGGAGGUGUGGUCAGGUAUUAUGGAUGGAGGUGUGGUCAGGUAUUAUGGAUGGAGGUGUGGUUAGGCAUUAGGGAUGGAGGUGUGGUCAGGCAUUAGGGAUGGAGGUCUGGUCAGGCACUAGGGAUGGAGGUGUGGUCAGAUAUUAUGGAUGGAGGUGUGGUCAGGUAUUGUGGAUGGAGGUGUGGUCAGGUAUUAUGGAUGGAGGUGUGGUCAGGUAUUAUGGAUGGAGGUGUGGUCAGGCACUAGGGAUGGAGGUGUGGUCAGGUAUUAUGGAUGGAGGUGUGGUCAGGCAUUAUGGAUGGAGGUGUGGUCAGGCAUUAGGGAUGGAGGUGUGGUCAGGCACUAGGGAUGGAGGUGUGGUCAGGUAUUAUGGAUGGGGGUGUGGUCAGGCACUCGGGAUGGGGGUGUGGUCAGGCACUCGGGAUGGGGGUGUUGUCAGGCACUAGGGAUGGAGGUGUGGUCAGGCACUCGGGAUGGGGGUGUGGUCAGGCACUAGGGAUGGAGGUGUGGUCAGGCACUAGGGAUGGAGGUGUGGUCAGGCACUAGGGAUGGGGGUGUGGUCAGGCACUAGGGAUGGAGGUGUGGUCAGGCACUCGGGAUGGGUUCAGGUCAGAGGAGAUGUAGUCAUUGUUUGUGUGUGUCAGUAAGUGAUUGUUUGUAUCUGGAGUAAAACUUUAUUUUUUA